rnacentral:rRNA from 1 species
CCUACGGGUGACAGCAGUGAGGAAUAUUGGUCAAUGGCCGAGAGGCUGAACCAGCCAAGUCGCGUGAGGGAAGACGGCCCUACGGGUUGUAAAACUCGUUUGUCGGGGAGCAAAGCGAACCACGUGUGGUUCAUUGAGAGUACCCGAAGAAAAAGCAUCGGCUAACUCCGUGCCAGCAGCCGCGGUAAUACGGAGGAGGAGAGAGUUAUCCGGAGUUAUUGGGUGUAAAGGGUGCGCAGGCGGAGGUGCAAGUCAGCGGUCAAAUUGCGGGGCUCAACCCCGUACUGCCGUUGAAACUGCAUCCCUUGAGUGCGCGAGAAGUAUGCGGCAUGCGUGGUGUAGCGGUGAAAUGCAUAGAUAUCACGCAGAACUCCGAUUGCGAAGGCAGCAUACCGGCGCGCAACUGACGCUCAUGCACGAAAGCGUGGGUAUCGAACAGGAUUAGAUACCCGGGUAGUC